AUUGAACGCUGGCGGCAGGCCUAACACAUGCAAGUCGAACGGUAACAGGGAUCUUCUUGCUGAUUCGCUGACGAGUGGCGGACGGGUGAGUCAUGUCUGGGAAACUGCCUGAUGGAGGGGGAUAACUACUGGAAACGGUAACUAAUACCGCAUAACUUCGCAAGACCAAAGAGGGGGACCUUCUGGCCUCUGGCCAUCGUAUGUGCCCAGAUGGGAUUGGCUAGGAGGUGGGGUAACGGCUCACCUAGGCGACGAUCCCUAGCUGGUCUGAGAGGAUGACCGGCCACACUGGAACUGAGACACGGUCCAGACUCCUACGGGAGGGAGCAGUGGGGAAUAUUGGACAGUGGGCGCAAGCAUGAUGCAGCGAUGCCGCGUGUAUGAAGAAGGCGUUCGGGUUGUAAAGUACUUUCAGCGGGGAGGAAGGGAGUAAAGUUAAUACCUUUGCUCAUUGACGUUACCCGCAGAAGAAGCACCGGCUAACUACGUG
rnacentral:rRNA from 1 species